CAGACGAAAUGGGGGGGGAACCAGCGUGCUGUACGAACAACAGAACUUGAUACGGUGCCAACUUCGGCCACGUAUUUUCCUCGACACUGCGGUCAAACUUGAGCAGGGAAACGUUCUCCGGUUCUGCGAUUUACGACUAAAAUUGUCUCUCAACCAUUCUACGUUAUCAGAGAAAAUACGACAGUUUUCAUGCGCAGUGUAUUAUUGCUUUGGUGUGUGAACUCCUGGACAGUGACACCGAAAGCAAAUCGGUGGUAAGGGGUCGUUAGGAGGUAAGUCGGAAACCGUUGUGUAACCUGUCCAGUUGGAAGAAGCGUUUCAAGUGUUUCGCUCGAUUGGAUGCGGAGUGUAUCUGAAGACACAUUAGCUUCGUUCUGUGGCGGCGGCAUUCGUCUGAAUCCUGUACUUUUCUAGUGGAUUAGGCCAGCAGCUUAAAAGAGUCCGUAAGCGAACACUCCUGCCCUCACCAGAGAAGAAAUCAUGGAAGAAUGUAUUCCUGGAAUACUACAUGUAUCGGGCUAGAGGUGCACCACGUUUUUGUGGUGGCAUACUUCACUCUAGAUCAUAUAUCUCAUGCGCGUGUCGCCGACAUCUUGUGCUUCAUAGAAGCUGAUCAGCAUUUCCCUGUCCCCCAUCUUUUUGCCGUUGUCACCGCAAGUUACACAGUCAAAUAACAAUCGAAUAAUAUUGCCGACCUUGGUUUAGUCUCUGCAAAGGCUUGAAACAGCUCUUGCAUCAGACGGGCGCUUCCGUGCCACCCAGCGUGCGGUUACGGUGUACUUCUACCGCGGGAUGAGCAAGCGUCGCAGCGAAGGAAAGACGUUGCUCUGCACGAUUGAUGCCUUAAAUGAGAAUGUGACGGCUAUCUUUAGUUGAUUCCGUUUUUUCCAUUGCCUUCCCCCGCAGGCAAUUCCCGUUGCCUGUCGCUGAAAUAAGAUGC
rnacentral:lncRNA from 1 species